rnacentral:rRNA from 1 species
UGGGGAAUAUUGCGCAAUGGGGGCAACCCUGACGCAGCCAUGCCGCGUGAAUGAAGAAGGCCUUCGGGUUGUAAAGUUCUUUCGGUAGCGAGGAAGGCAUUUAGUUUAAUAGACUAGGUGAUUGACGUUAACUACAGAAGAAGCACCGGCUAACUCCGUGCCAGCAGCCGCGGUAAUACGGAGGGUGCGAGCGUUAAUCGGAAUAACUGGGCGUAAAGGGCACGCAGGCGGUGACUUAAGUGAGGUGUGAAAGCCCCGGGCUUAACCUGGGAAUUGCAUUUCAUACUGGGUCGCUAGAGUACUUUAGGGAGGGGUAGAAUUCCACGUGUAGCGGUGAAAUGCGUAGAGAUGUGGAGGAAUACCGAAGGCGAAGGCAGCCCCUUGGGAAUGUACUGACGCUCAUGUGCGAAAGCGUGGGGAGCAAACAGGAUUAGAUACCCUGGUAGUCCACGCUGUAAACGAUGUCGAUUUGGGGGUUGAACUUUAAGUUUGGCGCCCGUAGCUAACGUGAUAAAUCGACCGCCUGGGGAGUACGGCCGCAAGGUUA